UACGUAGGGGGCAAGCGUUGUCCGGAUUUAUUGGGCGUAAAGAGCGUGUAGGCGGCCAGAUAGGUCCGUUGUGAAAACUCGAGGCUCAACCUCGAGACGCCGAUGGAAACCAUUUGGCUAGAGUCCGGAAGAGGAGAGUGGAAUUCCUGGUGUAGCGGUGAAAUGCGCAGAUAUCAGGAGGAACACCGGUGGCGAAGGCGGUUCUCUGGGCAUUACCUGACGCUGAGGAGCGAAAGUGUGGGGAGCGAACAGG
rnacentral:rRNA from 1 species